UACGUAGGGAGCAAGCGUUGUCCGGAAUCAUUGGGCGUAAAGCGCGCGUAGGCGGCCCCGUAAGUCCGCUGUGAAAGUCAAAGGCUCAACCUUUGAAAGCCGGUGGAUACUGUGGGGCUAGAGUCCGGAAGAGGCGAGUGGAAUUCCUGGUGUAGCGGUGGAAUGCGCAGAUAUCAGGAGGAACACCAAUAGCGAAGGCAGCUCGCUGGGACGUGACUGACGCUGAGACGCGAAAGCGUGGGGAGCAAACAGG
rnacentral:rRNA from 1 species